rnacentral:lncRNA from 1 species
AGGAUUUCCCCUCUUACUUCGAUCCUCCCUCCUCUCCUUCCGAGCAUCCAGGAUGCCCUAGCUCCGCCGCUCCGCCGCUCCACCGGAGUUCCACCCGAGCGACCUCGCGCCGCCGGAGUUCCGCCAGGCUCGCCCUUCCUCGACUUGCUGCGGCCACUUAUCUCUCCCAUUUUGUAAAGUUAUCAUUUUUAUUACCUUCCUCUGCUAACUACUGAACUACUAAUACUUCAGGUCAGGUCGUUACAGAAAACCUGGUUGGUGGACCGGACCGGGAGAAGGGGAGGGAUCGGCGACGCGGACUGUCCAGUGGCCGGGAGAGACGAGCGCGGCGCCGAGGGAGCGGCCGAGGAAGCUGGACCGGCCGAAGGUGAC